GAUAUUAUUGCUGGUUCGGUUCUGUUUUGAUGUUUUUUUUUCCCGCUGUUGCAGUUGCACUCAUUAGGCUAGCAGCAUUCAUCAGUUUUAAGGGUUUGCUGUUGAUUUUAAAUUUUUCCACAUUCACUCCUUAAAUUUCAAUUCUGUCAAUUAGAGGAUGAUCUAUGUAAAUAUUUAAUUGGUUAUUUAGAGGAGAUGGGAAAGAUGACAGUGGAAAUGCCUUUGACUCCGUAAGGAGUAUGAAAUCCAGGUUUAACAGAAUCCUUCAAAGCUUUUCACCACCCAUGUCCCUUGGGGGAUAUAGUAAGGACUAGCCGAUUCUGGAUGUUUAGGCACGAGCAGUUAUUCCUACGGCAUAUGCAGCGGAAUGCCAGAGGCACCUUCAGACGAAAGUAUGAGGCAUAGGAGAUCUACAUGUGAGCUGCCUGGUCCUCUGUCCCAUUCGCUAUGCGUCAUUUUCUAAAACUGCUUUUCUGUGAUGAUUGAAGCAGUACAAAAGCUCAGUGAGACAACUUUCCGCGUGCCGAGGCACUUGUACCUGCAUCCAUUGGAAGCAGGCGAGACAGUACGUACUUAGAACCUGACAGAGCAAGCAAUGCCCCGUGCCCUCCAUGGAUGGAUGAGCGGCAUCAGCCAACCGGUGAUUUCCGUCUUCCUGAAUUGGGAGAGCAAGGCUAGAUGGGAAACUUGACCCCAUAUUAACAUAUAAAUGUUUUUUUUUUUUUUUGGUUGCAAGUCUGUCGUUUAAAUGUUGUGUCUUUUUUUUUUUUUUUUUUUUUUUUUGAAUCCACUAGGGGGGUGGGCUUUAGCUUCAAGGGCUAGUAAUAAUAUGAUUCAAAUUCGUUUUUGGCGAUAAUUGAACCUAAGACCUCUCUUACAAAUGAAAAGGAAUAUCACUAGACCGUAGUACUAAGAUGUUACAUGUUGUAUUUAAAUUAAGGGAAAAAAAAAACCUCUUUCUAUAAUAAUCCAUUCAAUUAAUUAGGCUACAAUAAAACCUCGAUAAUUUAAUACUUGACAAAUUAAUUAAAUAAUAUUUUUGAUAUAACGUGCUAAAUUAGUAAUUCACUAAGUUUAUAAGAUAAUACAUUAUAGAGGAUUUAUAAAGGUUCCGAGUAAAAAUCCUAUCUAAGUCGAAGUUUGAAAACUUGUAGUAUGUUGGAAAUAAGAAAUUAAUGAGUAGAGAAGAGAUCAAUGCAUUUUACCAUUGUGCGUUGGCAAACCGUGAUGGCUGAAAUAGGUGAGCUGGGCUCAGGUAUGAGGUUUGUGUUGAUGUGAGAGAGGGUGGAGAUAAAUGAGAGACUUAUUUCGGUUUCUAGAGAGAGGGGCUUCUGAUUUUCUUGAGAGACAUCUCUCAUCUUUUAGAGAAAUGAGA